rnacentral:rRNA from 1 species
AUGUGUGUAUGCUGGCGUCAACGAGCCUCCGGAAGUAGCUCUCUGCUCAACUUGUUGCGGUUCCCUGGCGGCGGGAGGGAAGUGCACUGCUAUAGGGUGCUCUCCUUUACGGGGGCAGGCGGUCAGCCGCUGCGGUGCAGCUCAAAAACAUGUGCCAGACGGUUCGGUGCUUUGGCCAGGAUGGCGACGAGUGCUGCUCCGGGUCAACGCCAUUGUGCCUCCUUCUGCCGAGUGCAGUACUCACCUCACCGCGCUGUAGUCCGUAUUUCCAGUGCAUGCAGCUCGCAACCCGCCAAUGUACCGUCUAGCAAAAAUUCUGCAGUGCACUUGCCCAUGAGAAGUUCACUUCUUUUUCUAAUGCACUUUGUUUCGUUUGUGGCUCUCGUAAACAUGCAUAGAAGAAAAGUAAAAAAAAUUAAGUGCAGCUCACUUGUUUCAUUGCUGUAG